rnacentral:rRNA from 1 species
CGAUUGAACGCUGGCGGAAUGCUUUACACAUGCAAGUCGAACGGCAGCACGGGGCAACCUGGUGGCGAGUGGCGAACGGGUGAGUAAUACAUCGGAACGUGCCCAAUCGUGGGGGAUAACGUAGCGAAAGUUACGCUAAUACCGCAUACGAUCUACGGAUGAAAGCGGGGGAUCGCAAGACCUCGCGCGAGUGGAGCGGCCGAUGUCAGAUUAGGUAGUUGGUGGGGUAAAAGGCUCACCAAGCCAACGAUCUGUAGCUGGUCUGAGAGGACGACCAGCCACACUGGAACUGAGACACGGUCCAGACUCCUACGGGAGGCAGCAGUGGGGAAUUUUGGACAAUGGGCGCAAGCCUGAUCCAGCCAUUCCGCGUGCAGGAUGAAGGCCUUCGGGUUGUAAACUGCUUUUGUACGGAACGAAACGGCGAGCUCUAAUACAGUUUGCUAAUGACGGUACCGUAAGAAUAAGCACCGGCUAACUACGUG